CUCAGAAUCAAAUAUCCACCACCGAAAGUCGUAAACUAACAAAUCUCAAAUAAACGAAGGUUUCAUGACGAAUUUUCAACCAUUACCAUGCCAAUAAAUAAGCAGAUAUUUCAAGAACCAGACCUCAGAAUCAAAUAUCCACCACCGAAAGUCGUAAACUAACAAAUCUCAAAUA